GGCUCAUCCGCUGUCCUUCCUGGU
rnacentral:siRNA from 1 species